rnacentral:rRNA from 1 species
UACGUAGGGACCAAGCGUUGUUCGGAUUUACUGGGCGUAAAGGGCGCGUAGGCGGCGCGGUAAGUCACUUGUGAAAUCUCUGAGCUUAACUCAGAACGGCCAAGUGAUACUGCAGUGCUAGAGUGUGGAAGGGGCAAUCGGAAUUCUUGGUGUAGCGGUGAAAUGCGUAGAUAUCAAGAGGAACACCGGUGGCGAAGGCGGGACUCUGGGCCGAUACUGACGCUGAGGAGCGAAAGCGUGGGGAGCAAACAGG